CACACACUAUGGUAAGUAAAUUGACCCACACACAAAUGUUGAUUUCAAAACUUAUGCUUCAUGAUGUGUUUAUAUAGGAUAAAUAGAUUGUGCAGAUACCCAAUGUAUUAAGUAUAACCCAAAUGCUUUGUUUUGCACAAAAUGAGUUUACAGAGAAGUGCUGAUGCAUGACAUAUCACAAGAGCUUUUUUUCUUUAGUGCAAUCAGCAAAAGAACCAUACGGGUAGCAUACCUGAUCUUGAAGCCUGUCUGCCUCUGGAAAAGCGUGUGUGACAAGAUGAGAUUUUACGCCUUGAAAUCCAUUGAGAAGAAAAGAUGUGUCAGAGCCAUUUCAUUUGUGGACUGUUUUUUUUUUCACCUGAGUCAGCUCACCUCGGCAGUUCUUCCUUUUCCAGUUCCAUAAGGUCAGAGUGACGUUGCAGAUCACAGAGAUCCCCAGUCCCAGUCCCAUACCAACAACAGGCCAGAAAUGCAUUGGACACUCUUGGAAAGAGAGACCGGUGAUUAGCACUGAGGAAUGGCAACAGGUGGCCACAGCACAGUAUCAGAGAGGCUGAGGACACUCUUGGAGAGGUUGCACACACAGCUGUGUGGAGAAGAGCUGAUCUCACACUGAUGGCUGCUGUUGUGAUGAGUGUAAAUGAUUUUAGGAUGGGAGUCUCCUGCAGCAGCUCUGAACCAAAGCACUCAGAGUUCUGCUGUUGUCCUCUCAGAGACAUUGACUCUCCUGGGGAACCCUCCCCAACACUGGACUUUGGGACUCUAGAACACUGAUAUGUUUAACUCUGUAUGGCCUAAUCAAUAUAGUACAGAAUGUUUAAGAUCUUUGUUGAUCUUGUUUCCACUAAUACAUUUAGACUAACAAGGACUACCUAAGAAAGGUCAACGUGUUCAUGAUACAAGUACGAAAAUCACUCUACUGAAAAAAACAUCAAAUCAAAUCCCAAUAUUUAAACUCAUUCUCCUUCAGAAGUCUUGCUUGAUAUGAUGUAUGUCAUACUUUGAAGAAUUAUUAUCUUAACGUACGUUAUAAUUGCUGAAAAAAUGAAUUGAUUACCUGUCACAUCUAAGAAUGUAACAUAUGAGAACCUCAUCACUUUCAAAUCCAUCAUUACGCAGAAAUACAUUCCUUCAUCGUCUUCA